GCGGAUGUGGUGAAAUAGGUAAACGCACCGGACUUAAAAUUCGGCGCCUCGGCUUGCGGGUUCGAGUCCCGCCAUCCGCACCA
rnacentral:tRNA from 1 species